UUGAUAGCUCAGUUGGUAGAGCAGAGGACUGAAAAUCCUCGUGUCGGCGGUUCGAUUCCGUCUCAAG
rnacentral:tRNA from 1 species